GCGUCGGUGGUUUAGUGGUAGAAUACUCGCCUGCCACGCGGGUGACCCGGGUGCAAUUCCCGGCCGACGCA
rnacentral:tRNA from 1 species